GAAUAUUGCACAAUGGGGGAAACCCUGAUGCAGCCAUGCCGCGUGUGUGAAGAAGGCCCUAGGGUUGUAAAGCACUUUCCGUGGGGAGGAAAGGGUGUACGUUAAUACCGUGCAUCUGUGACGUUACCCACAGAAGAAGCACCGGCUAACUCCGUGCCAGCAGCCGCGGUAAUACGGAGGGUGCGAGCGUUAAUCGGAAUUACUGGGCGUAAAGCGCGCGUAGGCGGCUAUCUAAGCUAGAUGUGAAAGCCCUGGGCUUAACCUGGGAACUGCAUUUAGAACUGGAUGGCUAGAGUACAGCAGAGGAGUGUGGAAUUUCAGGUGUAGCGGUGAAAUGCGUAGAGAUCUGAAGGAACAUCAGUGGCGAAGGCGACACUCUGGGUUGAUACUGACGCUGAGGUGCGAAAGCGUGGGGAGCAAACAGG
rnacentral:rRNA from 1 species